GCAACUCGACUACAUGAAGCUGGAAUCGCUAGUAAUCGCGAAUCAGAAUGUCGCGGUGAAUACGUUCCCGGGUCUUGUACACACCGCCCGUCACACCAUGGGAGUCAGUAACGCUCGAAGUCAGUGACCCAACCGGAACCGGAGGGAGCUGCCGAAGGUGGGACCGAUAACUGGGGUGAAGUCGUAACAAGGUACC
rnacentral:rRNA from 1 species